CGCGUGCGGUUGUGCAAAGAACUAGUAGUGAACAACUAGCGAAUCUGGCGGAAAGACAUGCAAACGGCUUUUGACAGUUCUCGCGUGGAGCAAUUUCCACGAAUUUACUCGCGCAGUUUUUGUGAAAAAUCCGGAAAAUAGUGAAGAAAGUUCUUUAAAAACAAGUGCAAAGGUGUGAGAAAACUCUUAAUGAUAGAUCUUAGUGGUGGCAAGUGAAAAAAAUGAUGUGCAUUGUGAGAAAUUGCAAAAACAGCGACCAGCGAAAUCCUCUGGGGGUGUCAUUCCACAGAUUUCCAGUAAUUUUAGAACUGUGCGCAACUCGUCUGAAGCUCUCAGUUGCACUUGUGGACCGAAAUAAAGCCGUAUGCAGCCUCCACACUUCAAUCCAUAAAAUAUUUCACGGAAAAGUGCCUCAAAAGUGAAGCGCUCGAAGUACGUGCGAUCCUUUGCUAAAGACUCCCUACCAAUCGCAUUCAUUGGUACCACAUCUUUUGAUGGAAAGCAAUAUGCAGAACUACUUGAGUGUGACCAUCUCUGUUCUCACAUGUCACGAUAGAGCCUAUUUUUAUUUUAGAUGGACACAGUCAAUGAGAAUGGAUAUGCAACAUCAUACGGUGUAAGAAAUCCAGGCAAAGGACACAUGAAGAUGUCAAUCGUAUUACCAAAGCUGAUUCGAAAUAAGUUUUGAAAGUAUUAUAGAAACAAAUUCUACUCCAAUGCAACGAAUAAGUUAGAGUUAGCAAUUAUGUUUUAUUAUUUCUUACUAUUUUUAUGCAGAAUUAAGAAAAAUGAUGGACUUGAUCUUUAAUUGUUUCGAAUAAUUAUAAAAAGUAAUGAUUUUAUCCUAAUUUAUAGAUAGCUAUUUUUAAAAUAAAUUUAUUCUCUAUUAAAA